UACAGAGGGUGCAAACGUUGUUCGGAAUUACUGGGCGUAAAGCGUGUGUAGGCGGUCCGCUAAGUCGGGUGUGAAAGCCCUGGGCUCAACCCAGGAAGUGCACUCGAAACUGGCGGGCUAGAGUAUCGGAGAGGUUGGUGGAAUUCUCGGUGUAGAGGUGAAAUUCGUAGAUAUCGAGAGGAACACCGGUGGCGAAGGCGGCCAACUGGACGAAUACUGACGCUGAGACACGAAAGCGUGGGGAGCAAACAGG
rnacentral:rRNA from 1 species